UAGGGUCGCAUGACCCAGACGGAAAGAUUUAUCGGUACGAGAUGGACCCGCGUCUGAUUAGCCCCUAGUUGGUGAGGUAACGGGCCCCACCAAGGCGACGAUCAGUAGCCGGCCUGAGAGGGUGAACGGCCACAUUGGGACUGAGACACGGCCCAAACUCCUACGGGAGGCAGCAGUGGGGAAUAUUGCACAAUGGGGGAAACCCUGAUGCAGCAACGCCGCGUGAGUGAAGAAGUAUUUCGGUAUGUAAAGCUCUAUCAGCAGGGAAGAAAAUGACGGUACCUGACUAAGAAGCCCCGGCUAACUACGUG
rnacentral:rRNA from 1 species